ensembl:lncRNA
UUUUUAUUUAGAAUUUGCAUCUUUUUUCAUUUAAAACACUGCGGUCAUAUCGGGUUAGAGAACAGGACCAUUAUUUUUCUUAUUAUACUCUAUGUUCAUCUCCUCAACACGUGCAUUACUGCCCCACAACUCAGCUCUUCUAAUAACCCACGUUGUUUGUACUGUUCUAACAAAACGGCCACAUAACAUAUUCUUACUAAGACUGUCCAAGAAUUAAUAUGUUUGGGAGUAUUGGAAGUUAACUCUAGAUCAAUUUUAUUUUGUUUUAAAACGCUCCAGAUCCACUCCUCUUAUGAUGUGUAUUUAAAAAAUAAAAAAAUAAAAUACAGUUUUGCCUUGUGUUUUCAUUUUUAAUCAAGGAUAAGCGCAGCCGUUGGUUCCAACAAGUAGGCUACAACAUGCUUGUUUUUUGUUUCAUUGUAAAUCAAACCGUUAGGAUUUAAUAUGUAAAAUAAAGAAGAAACUUCCCAUAAAAAACAAUUUGCUCCAUUAAGAAGAGAACUUCUGCACCAAUGAGCUGUGUGGCACCUGUUGACCUCUCAGAAGGAACCACAUGGUUUACACACCUUUGAUCAAAUAAAAAAAUGGUUUUCUUUUCAGUAAACGGCCUAUUUAUUCUGGCACAUACGGAGAGUUAUUUCUGGGACAUUCUUGAAUCCUGAAUAUGAAAUAUUUGUUUUUAAGAAGAGAUAAGUGGUCCAAUAAAAAGACCUCAGUGGAGGUUAAGGGAUUCUUGUUUCUGCCUGAAAUACGUAACCUGCCCUGCAUUCUUGUGCCUCCUAAACUCGUGGAAUUACUUGGAAAAGGAUUUGAGUAUUUGGCAAGUGACUGAAUUCAAUAAUCCGCCCCCCAAAAGAAAAACACAAAUCUAGAUUAGCUCUGCCAUUAUUGUUUUCUGCAGAAAUACAGCCUUAGAAACCAAUCCUGUCGCGCCUUGAGAGGCUUCCCAACUUCAAGGAGCGGAUAUGAAAUAAAUCCAAUUACCCAGCUGUCAAUCAAGGCGCUAAUUAGCACGACUCCGGCAGACUAAGUGGCAUCAACGCUGGAAACGCACACACACACACACACACACACACACACACACACACACACACACACACACACACACACACACACACAAAAUUAACGCAAAACAGGAAAAUUCAUUUUCUGAAAACACAACUACCGCAAAUAAAGCUCUUCAGACGCUCCCUCACUCAACCUCUAGACUGUCUGCUGCUAUUUCUGGAUCGCCACAGACGAGCAAACCCCCGCUUCUGAAAAAAAAGAAGAAGAAGAAAAAGAAAGAGGGAAGCAGAAGAAGAAGAAGAAACAGAAGAAAAAGAUAAAGGAGCUUAAGCCUCCAUGCGGCCGCGCCGGGACAGCGCGCCUCCGUGUCCCACCGCCGGCUGCAAACAGCAGAAAGGUCAGUUCUCACAGGAGACCCAGUGACCUGUCAGAGGGCGGAGGGGAGGAAUGAUGCACAGGCCCUGCUACGCUGACGCUGUCCUGGUGUGGAACGUGACAGAAUGAUCAGCAAGACCUGCUCCCACCCGGAAACAACUAAACAAUAGGAGAUUGGCUUCAACUCUUCUUUUUAGUCUUCUUGAUUCGCAAAUGUCAAAGCGGCGCGUCGCGGCCUCUCUGUGGUAAACAGAGUGCCUGGUUACUCUACUCAGUUUCAAAUGGAAGAAGCUCUGUUUGGUUUCUUUCUGCUCUCUGUGAUCACAGAUACAUGUUCUCCAUAGUGGUGCAGAUGAGUCCUCAAACCGGGCAUUCAGUGAGCACGUUUGCACACGACAAGAUAUUUAGAUGCUUUUUUUCUGUAAUAUAAAAUCUGUCAUGUUGGCUAUUUGUGAAGCGUGUGGCUUUGAAGGGUAUUAAAAUAGACGGUUGCUAAGAAGUAGCUAGAAUGAGACCAGAAAACACCUUCACAGCGCCGUUGUGUGCGCUCAUACUCACCCGACCGCGGAGUGGUUUGUUCAUGGCCAAACCCGUCUUUUUUAUUUCUGCCGAAUAUGUUCACGCUUUGGUGUUGACAAUUUGUGAAGAUUAUCUCUCGCUAAACAAAACGUGUCAGUUUCAAAGACUUAUGUUUGCCACAAAGCCGAUUUUCUGGAGAAAAAUGCAAUGCAAUAAAUGGAAUGAAAAACUCCCAUUUG